rnacentral:rRNA from 1 species
AAGGAACUCGGCACAAUGGUCCCGUAACCUAGGGAGAAGGGACGCCCCCUGCGGUGAAGGAGCACGCCUCCGGAGCGGCGGGGGGCCGCAGCGAAACGGCCCAAGCGACUGUUUAUCAAAAACACAGGACUCUGCCAAGCCGCAAGGCGACGUAUAGGGUCUGACGCCUGCCCGGUGCUGGAAGGUCACGGGGAUCCGUCAGCCGAAAGGCGAAGCGGUGAACCUAAGCCCCAGUAAACGGCGGCCGUAACUAUAACGGUCCUAAGGUAGCGAAAUUCCUUGUCGGGUAAGUUCCGACCUGCACGAACGGCGUAACGAUUUGGGCGCUGUCUCAACCAUGGACCCGGUGAAAUUGUACUAUUCGUGAAGAUGCGAAUUACCCGCGGAAGGACGGAAAGACCCCGUGAACCUUUACUGCAGCUUGGCAUUGGCCGACGGCGCGUCGCGUAGAGGAUAGGCAGGAGCCCGCGAAGCGGGGGCGCAAGCCCCCGUGGAGGCGACCUUGGAAUACUGCCCUCGGCGCGUCGGCGGCCUAACUCGGUCCCGUCAUCCGGGCCGAGGACCGUGCCAGGCGGGUAGUUUGACUGGGGCGGUCGCCUCCCAAAGAGUAACGGAGGCGCGCGCAAGGUUGGCUCAGGACGGUUGGCAAUCGUCCGCAGAGCGCAAGAGUGCAAGCCAGCUUGACUGCGAGGCCCACAAGCCGAGCAGGGACGAAAGUCGGCUCUAGUGAUCCGGCGGCCCAGAGUGGAAUGGCCGUCGCUCAACGGAUAAAAGGUACUCCGGGGAUAACAGGCUGAUCUUGCCCAAGAGUCCACAUCGACGGCAAGGUUUGGCACCUCGAUGUCGGCUCAUCGCAUCCUGGGGCUGAAGUCGGUCCCAAGGGUACGGCUGUUCGCCGUUUAAAGC